CAUCCUCCAAGGCUAAAUACUCCUGACUGACCGAUAGUGAACCAGUACCGUGAGGGAAAGGCGAAAAGAACCCCGGCGAGGGGAGUGAAAAAGAACCUGAAACCGUGUACGUACAAGCAGUGGGAGCCCCACCACCAAAGCAUUCUCUGGUGUUGAAGGCCCUGCAAAGCAGCAUCGCGGUGGCGGAGCGUCGUUUGCGACGCCCAACACAAAAAACAAGCGGUGAGUGCUUUGGGGUGGGGUGACUGCGUACCUUUUGUAUAAUGGGUCAGCGACUUAUAUUCUGUAGCAAGGUUAACCGAAUAGGGGAGCCGUAGGGAAACCGAGUCUUAACUGGGCGUUAAGUUGCAGGGUAUAGACCCGAAACCCGGUGAUCUAGCCAUGGGCAGGUUGAAGGUUGGGUAACACUAACUGGAGGACCGAACCGACUAAUGUUGAAAAAUUAGCGGAUGACCUGUGGCU
rnacentral:rRNA from 1 species